CAGCACCCCUGUGAGGCAGACUGCUACUUCCUGGAGGGAGCCGAGUGAGGCUAGGCAGAGACAAAGCAUCUGUGAACAGUGGAGUGAGGCAGAUUCACAGCUUGACUGCCUCCCUUCCCGCCUUCCCAGCUCAGGAAGAGAAGGGAAUGACGUACCCACCCAGAAGAGCAAUUCGGAGGUUCUGGCGGAAGACAGGGUUCAAGAUGAGGCCCUGGAGUCCACCGGGGAGCAGCUGGGUAUGCCAAAUACGGAGGCCACUCAACAGGCCCGGUACUUUCCUCCUGAGCCCUGGACGGAAGCAGAGUUGGGUGAGGUGUCAUGAUAGAAAGGAGACCUCCAGGGAGCUCUCUCUCCCCCAAUGGCAGUCCCUUGGAACAGUGUUGCAGAGGGAAGCAACAUGCACUGGAAGGGGUCCUAUGAAGCCUGGGACAGCCUCGACCUUACAAUGUAUAAACUUGCAAUGUAACCUUACAAUCUACUGUUUCCUGUCUCUACC
rnacentral:lncRNA from 1 species